AGCAGGAUGCUAUGAAGAAUACAAAAUCGUUGAGCGAGAUUUUGGGCAUGCAGGUGAGAAUGAAUCUCUGAUAUUAGAAGGUGAUAUUGGUGGGGGAUUGGUUAUUGAACGGAAGAUAUCUAUUCGAAAAGAUGAUCCAAAGAUUCUUCAUAUCGACUCUAGCAUUAUAGCCCAAAAAGUAGGAGCUGGUUCAGGUGGAUUUUCAAGGCUGGUUUGCUUGAGAGUACAU
rnacentral:misc_RNA from 1 species